GAUGAAGAACGUAGCGAAAUGCGAUAAGUAAUGUGAAUUGCAGAAUUCAGUGAAUCAUCGAAUCUUUGAACGCACAUUGCGCCCGCCAGUAUUCUGGCGGGCAUGCCUGUUCGAGCGUCAUUACAACCCUCAGGCCCCCGGGCCUGGCGUUGGGGAUCGGCGGAAGCCCCCUGUGGGCACACGCCGUCCCUCAAAUACAGUGGCGGUCCCGCCGCAGCUUCCAUUGCGUAGUAGCUAACACCUCGCAACUGGAGAGCGGCGCGGCCAUGCCGUAAAACACCCAACUUCUGAAUGUUGACCUCGAAUCAGGUAGGAAUACCCGCUCAACUUAAGCAUAUCAAUAAGCGGAGGA
rnacentral:misc_RNA from 1 species